AGCGCAGACGGUUUAUUAAGUCUGAUGUGAAAGCCCGGAGCUCAACUCCGGAAUGGCAUUGGAAACUGGUUAACUUGAGUGCAGUAGGGGUAAGUGGAACUCCAUGUGUAGCGGUGGAAUGCGUAGAUAUAUGGAAGAACACCAGUGGCGAAGGCGGCUUACUGGACUGCAACUGACGUUGAGGCUCGAAAGUGUGGUAGCAAACA
rnacentral:rRNA from 1 species